UUCGACGAAACUUCCGAGUCUGAUCUCCAACUGGGCUCUUUCUCUCGCCCCACUCUUCAUCAGUUUUGUGGAACUCGAGUCUCAGGGGAAUGGUGUGUUGGACUCCCACGAGGCUCUGGGUCUUUUGCUCGGUCAAGUAAUUAUCCUUGCGGUUUCACCGGCAGUGAAGCGAGCACUGGCCACGGGAUUUUGCCCUUGGAGGAAAUACCUCGACGCCCUCAUGCCAUCGUCAUAUCCCAGGCAAAAUUUUCAUCAUCUUCGAAUGCUGUCUAUCGACACCCGCACCUCUUCAUGCGGGUGAACACCUCCAGCUUCCAGGUACACCAGUUGUCUCCUCUCCAAGGGCAUCGACUUUCCACACGAAGAGGACGUUCUUCCACCGAAGAUAGAUGAUGAUUAUGAUCCAUGACGAAUCCCCAAGUUUCAUUUGAUGAAGACGAAGCAGAAUCUGAUGAAUUCCUCCACCUCAUUUUCAAAACAAGAAGAUACAAAUAUUCUUCCUGAGAUUCCGGGACAUCUCUCGUAGAAUAAUGAUCAAGUACAUCUACCCCAGGAAUCAUCAAAUGAAUCAAGGGUUUCAUGGUUGGACGGUGGAAAUUAAAUGAAUUGGGAAACGACUGGAGUGAUAAGAAACUGAUGAGACUUACCUUGAGUACGGCAUUAAACAUCUCAAUUAAAAUGGGAUGUUGAUGAACCCUUGGAGAUUGUUGGAUUACGUCGUGUUGCCGGACGCUGUGUAUGACACGGGAGCUCCACGGGACUGUUACAUUAAUCCCCCGUGAAUUCUUCCAGUGCCAUUGACAGUGUCCAAGCUGAUGGAAUCAAUCAGGAGCACCAGGACUUGAUUAUGGAUACAUUAGCAGGUGGGAGUGAAGGGGACGUGAUGCAAGAGAUCUUGAAACAAUGAGAGUAAAAGGAAUUUAUCGUGAUGAAAGAGAAAAAGAGAAACAAUCUCGAAAAGAAAUGAUAAUAUACAAGUCAGUUGUCACCCCAUCGCCGGUGAAUUUAUCCUGUGAUCUCGAAACUCCUGGCACGUACCUCGAGGAAGAGUUCGUCAUCUCUUCAGUUCGUGUCUUGACUCAAAAAUGGUCUUCCCACGUUGGAGACAGCAUUGCGAUGAAAGGACGAGAAGUGAACUGGAAGAAAGGGAAUUGGUGAAGUGGGUCUGGGGACAGUCCGGAGAUGUGACAACUCGAUUCAAAAUGGACAUGACCUCGUGACCCGUCGGGUUCAUCCCACCCUGGUGAGACGAGUCGACUAUAACGGAAACCAGUUCCCCUGGAAAAGCGAUUACCUGGUAAAAAAAAGGUGGAUAAAUUGAAAUCCCCGAGAUUAGAUUUUCCAACCGAAGAAAAUGCUGAGCUACCGAUGCCCAUCAACCAUACGGUUCAUUCCCCCAUCCUCUGGGUCUCAUAAAACACGUUUUAAAACGCAUGAAAGGUGAGAGAAGAAGCCAGUGUUGCAGAGUGCCGCUGUUAGCGCAUCACACUAUGACUAAUUACGUAAAACUGGAAGUUACCGAGACCAAGUCAUUGUCUCCCAAUCUCAUCCAUCUCCCUCCUUCCUCCCCCCCCCAGGUAAUCCAUUUUUUAAUUUAAAAAAAUCACAAAACCAUAAAAAAAAAACCUCCAUCGGACGAUUAUCAUCCAAUUAAUUCAGCAAUUAAUUACUCACUUUAUUUAUUACUCCAUUCACUGACUUUCCCAGAAAUCUAUUGUUGCAUCAAAUCCCCCCAUUCAUCAGCGAAAAUAAUAACUUUAUUGUUGACAUGUUAAUAAAUCAAUCGACGAUUAAUUCUCCAGAAUAUUUACACAAUACUUCAAUAAAUUCUCGUAAGUCUCUACGAUUUAAUUUCCUAAUCAAUUAUUCGUGAAAAAUAUGAAACGCGUAUCAU